rnacentral:rRNA from 1 species
UACGGGGGGGGCAAGCGUUGUUCGGAAUUACUGGGCGUAAAGGGCUCGUAGGCGGCCAACUAAGUCGGACGUGAAAUCCCCAGGCUCAACCUGGGAACUGCAUCCGAUACUGGAUGGCUUGAAUUCGGGAGAGGGAUGCAGAAUUGCAGGUGUAGCGGUGAAAUGCGUAGAUAUCUGGAGGAAUACCGGUGGCGAAGGCGGCAUCCUGGACCGACAUUGACGCUGAGGAGCGAAAGCCAGGGGAGCAAACGGG